rnacentral:rRNA from 1 species
AUUGAACGCUGGCGGCAGGCCUAACACAUGCAAGUCGAGCGGCAGCACUUCGGGUGGCGAGCGGCGGACGGGUGAGUAACACGUAGGAAAUCUACCUAGUAUGGGGGAUAGCCCGGGGAAACUCGGAUUAAUACCGCAUACGCUCUACGGAGGAAAGGGGGCUUCGGCUCUCGCUAUUAGAUGAGCCUGCGUCGGAUUAGCUAGUUGGUGAGGUAAAGGCUCACCAAGGCGACGAUCCGUAACUGGUCUGAGAGGAUGAUCAGUCACACUGGAACUGAGACACGGUCCAGACUCCUACGAGAGGCAGCAGUGGGGAAUAUUGGACAAUGGGGGAAACCCUGAUCCAGCCAUGCCGCGUGUGUGAAGAAGGCCUUCGGGUUGUAAAGCACUUUCAGUUGGGAGGAAAAGUUUGUGGUUAAUACCCACGAGCCGUGACGUUACCAACAGAAGAAGCACCGGCUAACUCCGUGCCAGCAGCCGCGGUAAAGUA